rnacentral:misc_RNA from 1 species
CAACCCUUAAGCCUAGCUUAGUGUUGGGAAUCUACUGUAUUGUAGUUCCUUAAAGACAGUGGCGGAGCACAGUAGUCCUCUGAGCGUAGUAAAUUUAUUUCUCGCUUCUGUAAGGCUCUGUUCUCCCGCCAUAAAACCCCCAAUCUUUUAGU